UACGAAGGGUGCAAGCGUUACUCGGAAUUACUGGGCGUAAAGCGUGCGUAGGUGGUGAGUUAAGUCUGAUGUGAAAUCCCCGGGCUCAACCUGGGAAUGGCAUUGGAUACUGGCUCGCUCGAGUGCGGUAGAGGGUGGUGGAAUUCCGGGUGGAGCGGUGAAAUGCGUAGAGAUCCGGAGGAACACCGACGGCGCAGGCAGCGUCCUGGCCGCUUGCUGACACUGAGGCACGAAAGCUGGGGGAGCAAACAGG
rnacentral:rRNA from 1 species